rnacentral:rRNA from 1 species
UACGGAGGGUGCGAGCGUUGUCCGGAAUCACUGGGCGUAAAGGGCGCGUAGGUGGCCCGUUAAGUGGCUGGUGAAAUCCCGCGGCUCAACUGCGGGGCUGCCGGUCAUACUGGCGAGCUAGAGCACGGUAGGGGCAGAUGGAAUUCCCGGUGUAGCGGUGAAAUGCGUAGAGAUCGGAAAGAACACCAACGGCGAAAGCACUCUGCUGGGCCGACACUGACACUGAGAGACGAAAGCUAGGGGAGCGAAUGGG